GUAAUCGGAUUUAUAUCAAUCUACAUAUGUUGAGGUAGGUUGAAGUGGAAUUUAAACUAAAUUCUACAUCAAUCCACUCCAACACAUAUGGAUUGAACUGAAUUCGAUU
rfam:Sorghum bicolor cultivar BTx623 chromosome 6, whole genome shotgun sequence.